rnacentral:rRNA from 1 species
AUGCUGGAGAGUUCACACCUUCUUUUUGUUGUCGUCGUAGUUCAACCGGAACAGCCGUUCCAUGUUUGCCCCGCAUCCAACCCGCCGCUCACCAUGUUGCCAGCAAACGAGAUCCAUCCGUCCAGGCCGCCUCUUCCCCAAAAUCAAGAAUCAACUUCAGAGCAAAACUUUCGUCAGUUUACAGACAGAGUACAUCCUAUCAAGGCUGUGACAUCGCUAGUAAGUUUAUUAAGCACUCACCAGAGGAUGCAGAUUUCAAUGGAGGAUGGAGCACGGUGUGGUGGUCAGCUUUGCACAAGACGGGAUUGCCGAGCUCAACCACAGCGAGCUUACAAAGGUCACUCGGCCUCCAGAAAGGUGACGAGAGUCCUGGCGGUGCUGCCCGGCCCAAUGCUCAGAUGCGGUGGGCAAGGCUUAGGGAAAAAAUCCUAUGAGACCGGGUCUCAAAGGCGAACAAAUUAG